GAAAUUUCUAUCUCCCAGCCUCCAGAUUAGGGUCACUGGUGAGCCUUCCAAUUAUGGAUUGUAGUUCAUUCCAAAUAUAGUCAAGUUGACAACCAGGAAUAGCCACUACAGACACCAAGAAGACCAUCCCUUGUAGAAAGUCUUCAAGAAAGUGAAUGGAAGCCUCAGAGGAACUCCAUGGAGGACUAGCAUGGACUUAAAAAAACAACAACAUUUACUUGGGGCUGGCUUACAGGUUCAGAGGUUCAGUCCAUUAUCAUCAAGGUGGAAGUAUGGCAGUAUCCAGGCAGGCAUGGCGCAGGCAGAGCUGAGUGUUCUACGUCUUCAUCCAAAGGCUGCUACUGGAAGACUGACUUCCAGGCAACAAGGGUGAGGAUCUUAUGCCCACACCCACAGUGACACACCCAAUUCAACCAGAUCAUACCUCCAGAUGGUGCCACUCCCUGGUCCAAGGAUAUAAAACCAUCACAAAGGCCUACCUGUUUAUAGUCUUCCUGCUGAAUGCUUGUUAUGGAAACUGGUUAGAACCUUUUAUCUUGGGAAAUUUCUCUCUCUCUCUCUCUCUCUCUCUCUCUCUCUCUCUCUCUCACACACACAUACACACACACACACACACACACACACAUUUAUUUAUUUAUUUUGUUUAUAUAUUAGUUUAUUUCAAUGGUAAGAGGGAGACUAAUGUCUUAUGCAUAGUGAACAUAUGUUCUUCUAAUGUACUACAUUGCUAGCCCUUAAGGAGGCUUUUUGUUCGUUUGUUUGUUUGUAACGUGAUGGAAAUUCAACCCAAGGGUUUGUGCAUGCUAGGCAAAUGCUCUACCACUCAUCCAUGUCCCUAAUGUUCUUGUAUCAUUAAAUAUCAAAGGUUGGAUUUUUAUGUGUAUGUAUGUGCACAUUUAUGUAAGUGCACAUGUGUGAGUGCACAUGUAUGUGUGUGCAUGUGGAGGCCAUGCACUUUGGACAUUGUUCCUGGAAUGCUAUUCACCUUGGAUUUUUUGAGACAUAGUCCCACACUGACCUGGAGUUUGUCAGCUAGGCUGGGCUUGUUGGUCAGCAACCCCCUGAGAGUCACCUGUCUGCCUCCCACGUUCUGGGAUUACCUGUAUGUGCCUGUGGAUUUUUGGAAUUGAACUCAGAGUCUCAUGAUUGCAUGAAAAACACUUUUCCCACUGGGCUAUCUCUCCAGUCCCCUCAAAGACUGGAAUCUUAGAAAACUCGUGGCAAACAUUUGGAAUAGGGAUUAUGGUGUGUAUUUAUUUCAUGUAUUUGAAACUCAUGGCAGCUCAAUUCUAAUGACUUCCUUUGCCUGCCAUAUGGCAAAAUGAGUACAUAUUCCCAAGGACAGAAGAUAGUCUGCCAAGGCAUGGACCUCUGAAUUCUUCCUUUGAACUCUGCAACUGCACAGCUGUCUGGGGCUGACUGGAGAGACCUUGGUAGAAGGCUCGACAAUAGAACACGUGGCCAUGGUUGCUCUGUAAUACCCAUGUUAACAGGCAUACUGUUCAGUAACAACACCCACUGAAAAACUGGACAGAAUUUACAUUGAUAUGGAAGUUGUAUUACAGAUCACAGAAGGAUAGACAUAGAGAUAGAUAUCUUUAUGGAUAUACAUUUCAAAAAUUGUAUAUAUGAAAAACCAUAAAACUCUUUGUAGCAAUUAAGAGGUAAGUGUUAUGGAAAGGAGAAAAUGGGUGUGGCCCUGACAAGAGACAGAAUAGGUUACCCUUCCCCAAUGAUACAGCACAGACUAAGAAGAUAUGGGUUUCAGCACAAGCUAUAGGUGGAAUAAUUACUGAUUCAGAGGUGAGCUGGACAUGAUGAUAUACAUCUGUAAUCCCAGCACACAACCAGUCUGGACUACAUAUAUCCUUUCAUUUCAUUUUGAAGAAAUGAGAAGACAGGUGUGUCUUCUAUUUCCAUCAUGUAUUUAUGUAGCAGCAAACUAGAAUCAAUAGAUAGGAAAAUACAGUGGAUAUUAAUGCCUUAAAGUCUGCACUUUGAGCCAUUUUUUGCGACUCUGUUUCUCUGUAGUCUGUGGGUCCUUAUAAGAGUGAUUGAUCUAAUGGAGAGCCAUGGGGUUCUUAUUGGCUGUAGGUCUUGGAAAGAUGAAAGAGAAGGAACUGAACGCUCAGAGUAGACACUUCCCAGGUGCUCAUGGCUCAGAGUCACAGCCAUCUUAAUAAGAAAGAGUUGGUUUUAGCUGGAAGUUCAUGUAGGACUACCAAGUUCUAUUUCCAGAAUAUGGCCAGGGCUCCUCUGACUAUGUGUUACCCAUAUUAUAAAGCCACAAGACCUACCUUGAUAUUAGAUAUGUUUUUAGACUGCCAACCCAAUCGUAGUGCCUCACCCCCAUGGCCACAUUUUAGGGCAACAACUCAGCACCCCUGUAUUUGGUGUGUUGUUAAUGACUGUGAAGAACUCCCUCGGGCCUAAUUUAUCAUCAACUUCAGAAUUCCUGUGAGGCGUCCAGUAGACACAAGGGAGAGCAAGUUGCAGAUAAAAACUUCGGGUGAUGUUUUGAGUUGUGUUGUGGGCCACCUCAGGUGUUCAGCGUCCCUGCACACCCACAUCAUCUGAUCUGGUGCAGGGUAUCGGAGGUUGACAUGCAUAGCCCUGGACAUCUCCCUCUCCCUCCUCAGGAGAAGUUCUAGGAAACAGGCGAUCACGAUCAAUAUCUUUAGAACUGUGAUGUCAAGCAUUCAGUCAUGAACCAUGCAUUUCAUUUAUUUGCUCCCCUGAUGCUGAGCACAAGAAGAACACGUGUUCUGGGUGAGCUAGGGAGAAAUAUCUCAUUUCUUAUCCAUCAGCUAAGCAGACGUUUCUUAGCCCCGUUUAUCUCCAUACUGCAUCCAAGCAAAGAUGUGUGAGUUGUCAUCAAGUGGCAAAACAUUGCCCUGUUAAAAUCUCUUCCUUCUGUCAUUUAGAUGUGUGGUUGUAGAAUGACUUUCAAAAAACAUCUCUCUGGUCUUAUAAAUACUAGAUUAAAACAACCAUGAAGGCGAGGGGCUGAGGAGGUGGCUCAGUGGGAAAAGUGCUUGUGUGCAAGCAUGAAAACUUGAUUUAGAGCCUCAGCAUCCU
rnacentral:lncRNA from 1 species